ensembl:lncRNA
GUCAGGCCAGGGCAGGUCAGGUCAGGGCAGUACAGGGCAGGUCAGGUCAGGGCAGUACAGGGCAGGUCAGAGCAGUACAGGGCAGGUCAGGUCAGGUCAGGGCAGUACAGGGCAGUACAGGGCAGGGCAGUACAGGGCAGGUCAGGGCAGGUCAGGGCAGUACAGGGCAUGUCAGGGCAGUACAGGGCAGGGCAGGGCAGUACAGGGCAGGUUAGGGCAGGGCAGGGCAGUACAGGGCAGGUCAGGGCAGUACAGGGCAGUACAGGGCAGGGCAGGACAGGUCAGGACAGGACAGGUCAGGGCAGGGCAGGGCAGGGCAGGUCAAGGCAGUACAGGGCAGGUCAGGGCAGUACAGGGCAGUACAGGGCAGUUCAGGUCAGGGCAGUACAGGGCAGGGCAGUACAGGACAGGGCAGGUCAGGGCAGGGCAGUACAGGGCAGUGCGGGGCAGGUCAGGGCAGUACAGUGCAGGUCUGGUCAGGGCAGUACAGGGCAGGUCAGUACAGGUCAGGGCAGGUCAGGGCAAUGCAGGGCAUUACAGGGCAGGUCAGGGCAGUACAGUACAGGGCAGGUCAGGGCAGUACAGGGCAGGUCAGGGCAGUACAGGGCAGUACAGGUCAGGGCAGGGCAGUACAGGUCAGGUUAGGGCAGUACAGGGCAGGUUAGGGUGAACAGGGCAGGUUAGGGCAGUACAGGGCAGGUCAGAGCAGUACAGGGCAGGUUAGGGCAGUACAGGGCAGGUCAGAGCAGUACAGGGCAGGUUAGGGCAGUACAGGUCAGGUUAGGGCAGUACAGGUCAGGUUAGGGUAGUACAGGGCAGGUCAGGUCAGGGCAGUACAGGGCAGGUCAGGGCAGUACAGGGCAGGUUAGGGUAGUACAGUACAGGUCAGGGCAGUACAGGGCAGGUCAGGGCAGUACAGGGCAGUACAGGGC